rnacentral:rRNA from 1 species
AGAAUCUUUCGCAAUGGGCGAAAGCCUGACGAAGCGACGCCGUGUGGUGUGAUGAAGGCCUUCGGGUCGUAAAGCUCUUUCGCCUGGGAACAAGAGAUUUCGG